UAGGUGGAAUCUGUGCUCCGGGAGCUUGGGUUCUGAAGAUGGAGAUGCCCAAAGCGGCACCGGCCAUCCGGCGCACCAGCUGAGGAGGUGGUCAAAUCUUGUAUAGGAACCAAGUUCAUCGGCCGUUGGUUGCGCUGGAUGCGGUGGAGACAGUCAUGAUUCCGAGCAAGCAAGCUGCUGAUGGAGGAACGUGUGGCCAAGAUGUUACCGAUUUGCUUGCUCUCAAGCCGGGCGUCUUUUUCACCGAGAAAGGCGUCUCCGAUCUGGCCCAUCACUUCCUGUUGAAUGCCGGAAUCACGGCGAUUCUCCGGCUUCAUAAACCCAAAGACAGCCGGGUGCCAUGUGCCAUCGUCAACCAAACGUAGGAACUCACCGAGAAGGAAGGGAACGGUGCCGGUCUGUUCGAGAUGAAAAAGAUGGACGACGAAUACUUCUGCUUCGCCACGGAACGUACUAAGCUCUGGACCAUCUCUUCCGUGGUGCCUUCAAGGAAAUUUUCAACGAAACCGAACGUAGUCGGCCGAAACUGGCCAAUCGAGCAGCAAAAAAGCGAAAAGUGACCCAUCCCGGCGAGGCGAGGGAACCUGUAUACAGUUUUUGUGUGCGCAUCAACACCGCCCGGCUUCCUGGCAUCCCCCAACUGGGAUCACCCCUAGCAUUCCAGCAAGUAGCACGGCGGAACCCCCGGCAGCCAACGACGGAAAACA